AUCACCCACAUCCACCUGGACACAAACCCUGAGGAGAGGAAAGCACUGGUCUGGGAGUCAGGACAGCUGCUCCCAACUUGCUGUGUGACUUGAGACUUCAGUCACCUUCUGUCUACAGUGGAUGAACAUACCAUCCAGCCCCCCUACAACUCAGCUAACUGGGCUGAGCCUGGAAGUGCGCCUCUCCUCUGGCUCUGCCUGUGAUCGCACACAGCACCUGGGAUGGGUGUGACUUGCCAAGGUAUCAGUCAAUCUGCUGACCAAGACAUUGCAAAGCAAAACCCCACCUUUGAAAUCUUACCCCUGCCUUAUUUGGUGAGAACAUUCCAUCCAAUCUCCUUUAUGGGUCCCCCUAUAAAAAUAAAGGGAUUCCGGGUGCACGCUGUCUUUCCUAGCCCACCCUCGGGGUCGCAGAGCCCUA